rnacentral:rRNA from 1 species
UAAUACGUAGGGGGCUAGCGUUGUCCGGAAUCAUUGGGCGUAAAGAGCGCGUAGGCGGCUGGAUUAGUCCGGUGUGAAAGUCACAGGCUUAACCUGUGAAUGCCGCUGGAAACUGUCUGGCUAGAGUCCGGAAGGGGCGAGUGGAAUUCCUGGUGUAGCGGUGAAAUGCGCAGAUAUCAGGAGGAACACCAAUGGCGAAGGCAGCUCGCUAGGACGGUACUGACGCUGAGGCGCGAAAGCGUGGGGAGCAAACAGGAUUAGAUACCCUGGUAGUCCACGCUGUAAACGAUGGGCACUAGGUGUGGGAGGUGUCGACUCCUCCCGUGCCGUAGCUAACGCACUAAGUGCCCCGCCUGGGGAGUACGGCCGCAAGGCUA